GGGUUGUGAGGUUAAGCGACUAAGCGUACACGGUGGAUGCCCUGGCAGUCAGAGGCGAUGAAGGGCGUGCUAAUCUGCGAUAAGCGCCGGUAAGGUGAUAUGAACCGUUAUAACCGGCGAUACCCGAAUGGGGAAACCCAGUGUGAUUCGUCACACUAUCAUUAACUGAAUCCAUAGGUUAAUGAGGCGAACCGGGGGAACUGAAACAUCUAAGUACCCCGAGGAAAAGAAAUCAACCGAGAUUCCCCCAGUAGCGGCGAGCGAACGGGGAGGAGCCCAGAGCCUGAAUCAGCAUGUGUGUUAGUGGAAGCGUCUGGAAAGGCGCGCGAUACAGGGUGACAGCCCCGUACACAAAAGCGCAUGUGCUGUGAGCUCGAUGAGUAGGGCGGGACACGUGGUAUCCUGUCUGAAUAUGGGGGGACCAUCCUCCAAGGCUAAAUACUCCUGACUGACCGAUAGUGAACCAGUACCGUGAGGGAAAGGCGAAAAGAACCCCGGCGAGGGGAGUGAAAAAGAACCUGAAACCGUGUACGUACAAGCAGUGGGAGCACCCUUUGGGGUGUGACUGCGUACCUUUUGUAUAAUGGGUCAGCGACUUAUAUUCUGUAGCAAGGUUAACCGAAUAGGGGAGCCGGAGGGAAACCGAGUCUUAACCGGGCGUUAAGUUGCAGGGUAUAGACCCGAAACCCGGUGAUCUAGCCAUGGGCAGGUUGAAGGUUGGGUAACACUAACUGGAGGACCGAACCGACUAAUGUUGAAAAAUUAGCGGAUGACCUGUGGCUGGGGGUGAAAGGCCAAUCAAACCGGGAGAUAGCUGGUUCUCCCCGAAAGCUAUUUAGGUAGCGCCUCGUGAAUUCAUCUCCGGGGGUAGAGCACUGUUUCGGCUAGGGGGCCAUCCCGGCUUACCAACCCGAUGCAAACUGCGAAUACCGGAGAAUGUUAUCACGGGAGACACACGGCGGGUGCUAACGUCCGUCGUGAAGAGGGAAACAACCCAGACCGCCAGCUAAGGUCCCAAAGUCAUGGUUAAGUGGGAAACGAUGUGGGAAGGCCCAGACAGCCAGGAUGUUGGCUUAGAAGCAGCCAUCAUUUAAAGAAAGCGUAAUAGCUCACUGGUCGAGUCGGCCUGCGCGGAAGAUGUAACGGGGCUAAACCAUGCACCGAAGCUGCGGCAGCGACGCUGAUGCGUUGUUGGGUAGGGGAGCGUUCUGUAAGCCUGCGAAGGUGUGUCGUGAGGCAUGCUGGAGGUAUCAGAAGUGCGAAUGCUGACAUAAGUAACGAUAAAGCGGGUGAAAAGCCCGCUCGCCGGAAGACCAAGGGUUCCUGUCCAACGUUAAUCGGGGCAGGGUGAGUCGACCCCUAAGGCGAGGCCGAAAGGCGUAGUCGAUGGGAAACGGGUUAAUAUUCCCGUACUUGGUGUUACUGCGAAGGGGGGACGGAGAAGGCUAUGUUGGCCGGGCGACGGUUGUCCCGGUUUAAGCGUGUAGGUGUGUGUUCCAGGUAAAUCCGGUUCACUUUAACACUGAGGCGUGAUGACGAGGCACUACGGUGCUGAAGCAACAAAUGCCCUGCUUCCAGGAAAAGCCUCUAAGCAUCAGGUAACAUCAAAUCGUACCCCAAACCGACACAGGUGGUCAGGUAGAGAAUACCAAGGCGCUUGAGAGAACUCGGGUGAAGGAACUAGGCAAAAUGGUGCCGUAACUUCGGGAGAAGGCACGCUGACACGUAGGUGAAGUGAUUUACUCAUGGAGCUGAAGUCAGUCGAAGAUACCAGCUGGCUGCAACUGUUUAUUAAAAACACAGCACUGUGCAAACACGAAAGUGGACGUAUACGGUGUGACGCCUGCCCGGUGCCGGAAGGUUAAUUGAUGGGGUCAGCGCAAGCGAAGCUCCUGAUCGAAGCCCCGGUAAACGGCGGCCGUAACUAUAACGGUCCUAAGGUAGCGAAAUUCCUUGUCGGGUAAGUUCCGACCUGCACGAAUGGCGUAAUGAUGGCCAGGCUGUCUCCACCCGAGACUCAGUGAAAUUGAACUCGCUGUGAAGAUGCAGUGUACCCGCGGCAAGACGGAAAGACCCCGUGAACCUUUACUAUAGCUUGACACUGAACAUUGAGCCUUGAUGUGUAGGAUAGGUGGGAGGCUUUGAAGUGUGGACGCCAGUCUGCAUGGAGCCGGCCUUGAAAUACCACCCUUUAAUGUUUGAUGUUCUAACGUGGACCCGUGAUCCGGGUUGCGGACAGUGUCUGGUGGGUAGUUUGACUGGGGCGGUCUCCUCCUAAAGAGUAACGGAGGAGCACGAAGGUUGGCUAAUCCUGGUCGGACAUCAGGAGGUUAGUGCAAUGGCAUAAGCCAGCUUGACUGCGAGCGUGACGGCGCGAGCAGGUGCGAAAGCAGGUCAUAGUGAUCCGGUGGUUCUGAAUGGAAGGGCCAUCGCUCAACGGAUAAAAGGUACUCCGGGGAUAACAGGCUGAUACCGCCCAAGAGUUCAUAUCGACGGCGGUGUUUGGCACCUCGAUGUCGGCUCAUCACAUCCUGGGGCUGAAGUAGGUCCCAAGGGUAUGGCUGUUCGCCAUUUAAAGUGGUACGCGAGCUGGGUUUAGAACGUCGUGAGACAGUUCGGUCCCUAUCUGCCGUGGGCGCUGGAGAACUGAGGGGGGCUGCUCCUAGUACGAGAGGACCGGAGUGGACGCAUCACUGGUGUUCGGGUUGUCAUGCCAAUGGCACUGCCCGGUAGCUAAAUGCGGAAGAGAUAAGUGCUGAAAGCAUCUAAGCACGAAACUUGCCCCGAGAUGAGUUCUCCCUGAGACUUAGAGUCUCCUGAAGGAACGUUGAAGACGACGACGUUGAUAGGCCGGGUGUGUAAGCGCAGCGAUGCGUUGAGCUAACCGGUACUAAUGAACCGUGAGGCUUAACCUUACAACGCCGAAG
rnacentral:rRNA from 2 species